GGGGGCAUAGCUCAAGUGGUAGAGCGCAUGCUUGGCUUGCAAGAGGCCCUGGGUUCAAUCCCCAGUAUCUCCU
rnacentral:tRNA from 1 species